rnacentral:rRNA from 1 species
AUAGGCCUACGGGGGGCAGCAGUGGGGGAUAUUGCACAAUGGGGGGAACCCUGAUGCAGCGACGCCGCGUGGGUGAAGAAGCGCCUCGGCGCGUAAAGCCCUGUCAGCAGGGCAGAAAAUGACGGUACCUGAAGAAGAAGCCCCGGCUAACUACGUGCCAGCAGCCGCGGCAAUACGUAGGGGGCAAGCGUUAUCCGGAUUUACUGGGUGUAAAGGGGGCGCAGACGGCGAU